CCUACGGGAGGCAGCAGUGGGGGAUAUUGCACAAUGGGGGGAACCCUGAUGCAGCGACGCCGCGUGGGUGAAGAAGCGCCUCGGCGCGUAAAGCCCUGUCAGCAGGGAAGAAAAUGACGGUACCUGAAGAAGAAGCCCCGGCUAACUACGUGCCAGCAGCCGCGGUAAUACGUAGGGGGCAAGCGUUACCCGGAUUUACUGGGUGUAAGGGGGGCGCAGACGGCGAUGCAAGCCAGGAGUGAAAGCCCGGGGCCCAACCCCGGGACUGCUCUUGGAAAUGCGUGGCUGGAGUGCAGGAGGGGCAGGCGGAAUUCCUGGGGUAGCGGUGAAAUGCGUAGAUAUCAGGAGGAACACCGGUGGCGAAGGCGGCCUGCUGGACUGCAACUGACGUUGAGGCCCGAAAGCGUGGGGAGCAAACAGGAUUAGAUACCCCGGUAGUC
rnacentral:rRNA from 1 species